CAUAACCUUUAGCUUAACAAAUAUUAAAGGCAAUACCUGCCCAGUGAAUAAUUAAACGGCCGCGGUACCCUAACCGUGCAAAGGUAGCGUAAUCAUUUGUCUAUUAAUUGUAGACCUGUAUGAAAGGAUAAAUGAGGGUCUAACUGUCUCUUAUAAUAAAUCAAUUAAACUGAUCUUCUAGUAAAAAAGCUAGAAUCACUCCACAAGACCAGAAGACCCUGUGAAGCUUAAACUAAAAUAUUAAACCAUAUAAUAUCUAAUUUCGGUUGGGGCGACCUUGGAAUAAAAAAGAACUUCCAAACAAUAUGACCAUAAAUCAUACCAGCAGGCCUACAAGCCAUAAACGACCCAGCACAGCUGAUAAUUGAACCAAGUUACUCCAGGGAUAACAGCGCCAUCUUCUUCAAGAGCCCAUAUCAAAAAGAAGGUUUACGACCUCGAUGUUGGAUCAGGACAUCCUGAUGGUGCAACCGCUAUCAAGGGUUCGUUUGUUCAACGAUUAACAGUCCUACGUGA
rnacentral:rRNA from 1 species